CCUACGGGAGGCAGCAGUGGGGAAUAUUGGGCAAUGGAGGCAACUCUGACCCAGCAACGCCGCGUGAAGGAUGAAGGUCCUCGGAUUUUAAAGUUCUUUUCUAAGGGAAGUAGAAAGUGCUAGUACCUUAGGAAUAAGCCUCGGCUAACUACGUGCCAGCAGCCGCGGUAAUACGUAGGAGGCAAGCGUUAGCCGGAAUGACUGGGCGUAAAGGGUGAGUAGGUGGUUAUGCAAGUUAGGAGCGCAACUUCGGAGCUUAACGUCGGAACUACUACUGAAAUUGGUGGACUUGAGUGCAGGAGGGGCAAUCGGAAUGCAUGGUGUAGCGGUGAAAUGCGUAGAUAUUAGGAGGAACACCAGUGGCGAAGGCGGAUUGCUAGACUGUAACUGACGCUGAGGCACGAAAGCGUGGGGAGCAAACAGGAUUAGAUACCCCAGUAGUC
rnacentral:rRNA from 1 species